rnacentral:rRNA from 1 species
CGCGUAGGCGGCUUUGUAAGUUAGAGGUGAAAGCCCGGAGCUCAACUCCGGAACUGCCUUUAAGACUGCAUCGCUAGAAUUGUGGAGAGGUAAGUGGAAUUCCGAGUGUAGAGGUGAAAUUCGUAGAUAUUCGGAAGAACACCAGUGGCGAAGGCGACUUACUGGACACAUAUUGACGCUGAGGUGCGAAAGCGUGGGGAGCAAACA